UUCAUACCAUAUCCCACUUUUUACCUCUAGCCUGGAGGCAAUCUCUGGACUUGCUAUUGAGGUUUGAGGUGAACUGUUCUAGUUGAUUUCUGUCACAGGUCUUCCUUUCAUGUCCUGCUGUCUUGCAUUUCCACUCCCUCAGUAACUCCCCUAUUCUUCUCACACUCCACAUUGUCAGUCCCUUUUCUUCCUUAGUUCAACUCAGUUGACUCUUUAGAGCA
rnacentral:lncRNA from 1 species